rnacentral:rRNA from 1 species
GGGAUAACAGAAGGAAACUCCUGCUAAUACCGCAUAGCCAUGAGCACCGCAUGGAGCUCAUGCCAAAUAUCCUUUAUGGGAUAGCGCAGGGAUGGACCUAUGGCGCAUUAGCUUGUUGGCGGGGCAACGGCCCACCAAGGCAACGAUGCGUAGCCGGCCUGAGAGGGCGGACGGCCACAUUGGGACUGAGACACGGCCCAGACUCCUACGGGAGGCAGCAGUAGGGAAUUUUCGGCAAUGGGGGAAACCCUGACCGAGCAACGCCGCGUGAGCGAAGAAGGCCUUCGGGUCGUAAAGCUCUGUUGUAAAGGAAGAACGGCGCAUACAGGAAAUGGUAUGCGAGUGACGGUACUUUACCAGAAAGCCACGGCUAACUACGUGCCAGCAGCCGCGGUAAUACGUAGGUGGCGAGCGUUAUCCGGAAUCAUUGGGCGUAAAGAGGGAGCAGGCGGCCGCAAGGGUCUGUGGUGAAAGACCGAAGCUAAACUUCGGUAAGCCAUGGAAACCGGGCGGCUAGAGUGCGGAAGAGGAUCGUGGAAUUCCAUGUGUAGCGGUGAAAUGCGUAGAUAUAUGGAGGAACACCAGUGGCGAAGGCGACGGUCUGGGCCGCAACUGACGCUCAUUCCCGAAAGCGUGGGGAGCAAAUAGGAUUAGAUACCCUAGUAGUCCACGCCGUAA